UUGCUUCUUCUUGGAGAGCACCACCGAAGUCGACCCCUGUGUUCUUAGCUGGGUGUCGGUAGAUUUUAGCGAUGGUGACGGCUUUGAAUGCUUCCAGUCUCGUGUUCUCUUCUUGGAUUUAGCUGUGGCAUCUCUUCCAUCAUUGCAUAGAACAAAGUGGAUGAGGACUGUGGUUAGUUGAGGGCAGCAAACACCAUGAACUUGAUUAAGUUAUCAGAUCACUUUUCAUAGCUUUAAUCACUUUGUAUAGUACUUGUGUCCUGCUUCGGUGGGUGCGAUCUGUUUCCGUCCUAAUGAGAGAAAACAAUUUGGUGCUUGUCUCAUAGUGUUAUUAGUCCCUCAAUCUGUAGAGACUAUGUUCUUGCUUCAGGAGUUAGAAGCCUCUGGAAAAGGAACCAACAAGAGUGGGUGGGGUGCUCAGAGAGUACCCGUAUAUUCCUUUACUGUAGGGGGGUUGAUAGAUAGAUAGAUGGAUAGAUAUAGCUAGGCUGGCUGAGGGGCACCUUUUGCAGGAACAGAACAUUUCUCCCUUUGAUGUGUGGUCCUUGCACAUCACAUUUCUUGGUGGUCCUGUUUUAGUUCAACAUCAACAUGAAACCAAUGUUGAGGAGUAUGUGAGGACUGAUGGUGAGUCCUUAAUCAUGGUGAAGAAGAUGUCUCUGUGCCGUGUCAUGCAAUCUUCUUAUUGGGAGGAGGAGUCACAUAUGUCUCCAAUGAUGGUGAAUGGUACAUUACACCUAAAAGAGGAUUCUUAAGUUGAUAGAGGAUUAUUUCUGUAUUCUAAUGCUGUUUCAUAUAUGCUUUGCUUGAUUGAAGUAGGAGGAGAGUCGCAUGACUUGCCAAGCAGUUGUCUCAGUCCAAGCCUUAAAAAGAUGAUGAACAUGAAACAAGUUUAGGAUUCUGUUUUCUCAGAAGAAAGAAAAAGGAAAAGAGUUUUGGUUCUUAUGGUUUUUCCCUUGUUCUUGGGGUGUAUGAUUUCUUGGAUUUAGGCCUAUUGUUAAAUUGAUUCUUCCUCGCUAAGUUUUGACCCAGUAAGAGACAAACUCUCUUCCAUCAAAGUAAAUCUUAUGUAGCUUCCACUUCACAGUGCCCUUUUUCCUGGCACAGUCAUUUUGUACAUGUGAUCUUGGCAUUGGAUUCUCUCCCACUUGUGCUCUCUUCUACUCUAACACAAAAGUGCUCAGAUGUGCAGGCAGUUCUGAUAACAUCGAGGAAGAGUGACACAGCCUUUGUCUCUGUUACCAUUUCCCUCUAAUCAAUGCAACAUCUAAACAUGUUUGUAGCAGUGUUAGGGUUGUCUUUAGAAACAUUUAUACUGCAGAGUGGUGUUGUUGUUGACUUCACCGACAACUUAGUGCAUGAAACACGAGGACAAAUCUAUGAUGCUGCUAGAGAAAGCUAAGAGUGAUGAUAUUGAUCAGACAGUAGAACACACUUGCAAGCAGCCUGACACAGCGGUGUUUACCCACCACCCAACCACUGCACUCAAUGAAAGACCAUUUGGACUUAUUCCGGUCAAGUCUGCGUGUGGUUCAUAAUUAGUCUGAUCUAAAUAAAUGGCUUCCUGUAGUGCAUUGUUUGUCACGUUGGGUAUGGGUAAUUUCUUUGACUGCCAACAUAUUUGUGAUCCAUUGGUGUCAUUGUGAGUACACCUAAAUACUAGUGUAGAUUAGACUGUAAUCAUCCUGAUUAUAUAUUUUUCUAAGAAAGAUGUAUUAUGAUGCCAAAAACAGUAGAAGCUUUUUAGGUAUUUUAUAUGUUGCAUACCUCUUUAAAUCAAACAAAUUAAUGUUAACCAUGUGAC